rnacentral:rRNA from 1 species
UGGGGAAUAUUGCACAAUGGGGGAAACCCUGAUGCAGCGACGCCGCGUGAACGAAGAAGGUAUUCGUAUCGUAAAGUUCUGUCCUAUGGGAAGAUAAUGACAGUACCAUAGAAGAAAGCUCCGGCUAAAUACGUGCCAGCAGCCGCGGUAAUACGUAUGGAGCGAGCGUUGUCCGGAAUUAUUGGGCGUAAAGGGUACGCAGGCGGUUUAAUAAGUCGAAUGUUAAAGAUCGGGGCUCAACCCCGUAAAGCAUUGGAAACUGAUAAACUUGAGUAGUGGAGAGGAAAGUGGAAUUCCUAGUGUAGUGGUGAAAUACGUAGAUAUUAGGAGGAAUUCCAGUAGCGAAGGCGACUUUCUGGACACAAACUGACGCUGAGGUACGAAAGCGUGGGGAGCAAACAGG